UACGUAGGCAGCGAGCGUUGUUCGGAGUUACUGGGCGUAAAGGGUGUGUAGGCGGUUGUUUAAGUUUGGUGUGAAAUCUCCCGGCUCAACUGGGAGGGUGCGCCGAAUACUGAAUGACUAGAGUGCGGGAGAGGAAAGUGGAAUUCCUGGUGUAGUGGUGAAAUACGUAGAGAUUGGGAAGAACACCAGUGGCGAAGGCGGCUAUCUGGACGGUUUCUGACGCUAAGACGCGAAAGCGUGGGGAGCAAACAGG
rnacentral:rRNA from 1 species